UACAGAGGUCUCAAGCGUUGUUCGGAUUCAUUGGGCGUAAAGGGUGUGUAGGUGGCGCGCUAAGUCGGGUGUGAAAUUUCGGAGCUUAACUCCGAAACUGCAUUCGAUACUGGCGUGCUUGAGGACUGGAGAGGAGACUGGAAUUUACGGUGUAGCAGUGAAAUGCGUAGAUAUCGUAAGGAAGACCAGUGGCGAAGGCGGGUCUCUGGACAGUUCCUGACACUGAGACACGAAGGCCAGGGGAGCAAAACGGGG
rnacentral:rRNA from 1 species